GACGAACGCUGGCGGCGUGCCUAAUACAUGCAAGUAGAACGCUGAAGAGAGGAGCUUGCUCUUCUUGGAUGAGUUGCGAACGGGUGAGUAACGCGUAGGUAACCUGCCUUGUAGCGGGGGAUAACUAUUGGAAACGAUAGCUAAUACCGCAUAACAAUGGAUGACACAUGUCAUUUAUUUGAAAGGGGCAAUUGCUCCACUACAAGAUGGACCUGCGUUGUAUUAGCUAGUAGGUGAGGUAAUGGCUCACCUAGGCGACGAUACAUAGCCGACCUGAGAGGGUGAUCGGCCACACUGGGACUGAGACACGGCCCAGACUCCUACGGGAGGCAGCAGUAGGGAAUCUUCGGCAAUGGGGGCAACCCUGACCGAGGCACGCCGCGUGAGUGAAGAAGGUUUUCGGAUCGGAAAGCUCUGUUGUAAGUCAAGAACGGGUGUGAGAGUGGAAAGUUCACACUGUGACGGUAGCUUACCAGAAAGGGACGGCUAACUACGUG
rnacentral:rRNA from 1 species